rnacentral:rRNA from 1 species
CCUACGGGUGGCAGCAGUGAGGAAUAUUGGUCAAUGGACGGAAGUCUGAACCAGCCAUGCCGCGUGCAGGAAGACGGCUCUAUGAGUUGUAAACUGCUUUUGUACAAGGGUAAACCUGAAUACGUGUAUUCAGCUGCAAGUACUGUACGAAUAAGGAUCGGCUAACUCCGUGCCAGCAGCCGCGGUAAUACGGAGGAUCCAAGCGUUAUCCGGAGUUAUUGGGUUUAAAGGGUGCGUAGGCGGAUUGAUAAGUUAGAGGUGAAAUGUCCGAGCUUAACUCGGGAAUUGCCUUUAAUACUGUUGAUCUAGAGAGUAGAUGCGGUAGGCGGAAUGUAUGGUGUAGCGGUGAAAUGCUUAGAGAUCAUGCAGAACACCGAUUGCGAAGGCAGCUUACCAAUCUAUAUCUGACGUUGAGGCACGAAAGCGUGGGGAGCAAACAGGAUUAGAUACCCCAGUAGUC